AGCGUAGGCGGGCUCUUAAGUUGGAUGUUUAAAACCGGGGCCCAACCCCGGCGUGGCAUCCAAAACUGGGAGUCUUGAAUGGAACAGAGGCUAGUGGAAUUGGAGGUGUAGCGGUGGAAUGCGUAGAGAUCUCCAAGAACACCCGUUGCGAAGGCGGCUAGCUGGGUUCACAUUGACGCUGAGGCUCGAAAGCGUGGGGAGCAAACAGGAUUAGAUACCCUGGUAGUCCACGCCGUAAACGAUGAACACUAGGUUUUGACCCCGUCAACGGGUCAGAGCCGCAGCUAACGCGUUAAGUGUUCCGCCUGGGGAGUACGGUCGCAAGACUGAA
rnacentral:rRNA from 1 species